rnacentral:lncRNA from 1 species
UUUUCAAGAAAGAAGUGAAAGUGCAAGAACUGGAAUAGCAAUCAACCACUUUAUUUUGAGAUGUAAAUAGCUGAUUAUGCUAUGUAAAACCAGCAUGCAUUCACAAAUGUUGUAAGUUAGAGAAGUUCUGAUUCCUCAACAGCUGACGGCAACCUAAUUGCCUUCAUCUUUCUCCGGCAAUGUAAUUCAUACAUCAGACUGCAAUAUACAUGUACAUGUCCAUCAAGCAUUGAACAGUUGAUAAGCACAAGAUGAUUAAGCAGACCGGCUCGUCUGAACUAUAUAAUAUCAGCAAAAGGUGCAGAAAGAACAAAUUAAAGGAUGAAAUCUAAAUCCUCUGUGUAUCCUGUUGCUUGAAGCAAGACUACUCUUGGGCAAACGAAAUUCCCUUCCCACCAAACCAAACCAUUUAAAAAGGGCCUUAGAUGCUAGCAGAAAGCUACCGGAUUUCUAAUUAUAUCUAAAUGUACUCAACAACAGACCAAGAUAAAAAUAGAAUGAAGGUGUAAGUGUACCAAAUCCAAGAAAUAAUUAGGCUGCACUAUAUCUUUGCAGCUUCACGUAUAUUGCCUAGACCAAGAACUUCGUUUAAUUCUAGUUAACUGACAUGUGUACUGGAUUCUGUUGAUCAUAGUUAAUUAAUUAGCUCAUUUUAGUGAAGCACAAACAAUGCACGCGCAUCAGCCCAUCAAAAAUAGAAAAGCAAUGUACGCACUAACCUGGCUGGUUGUACUCCUCCCCUGAAGUUUCAACAUAGUAGUAUAGCACAGUACUUAAUUAAAUUCUCUUCUUCUUCACUAACUGCAGCAAGCUGGCUGCAGAGAGAAAAGUAAAACAGACACUAAAAUCUUAUUUUGCAAUAUACGGUAUGAAAUAACAAAGCUCAUGGAGAUGUAUAUCUAGUAAAAUAACAAAGAGGCAGACAGUAGUA